rnacentral:sRNA from 1 species
GCUGGGUGAGGUGGCGCACACUUGUAAUCCCAGUGAUUUGGGAGGCUGAGGCAGAAGGAGUGCAAGUUCAAGGUCAGUCUCAGCAACUUUGCAGGAUCUUCAGCUGCUUAGUGAGAUCCUGUCUCAA